AAAAAAAUUACAAUUUAAAAAUGUAGAAAAAUGUGUUUUUAAAUUGUAGGUAAGUUGAUGCAUUUUUAUAUGCUAUUUUAAAAAAUAGCGUUUUCAAAUUGUAAAUUUUAAAAUUUCUAUAUUUAAUUUGCACGUUUUAAAAUUGCAACUCCAAAUAGACUCUUAGUCCGAUGAGGGAAUAUUGGACAAUUGGUGUAACCAAGAGUAAUUCCUAGGAAAUGGGCCUCGGCCAUCCAAAAUUAGUCCUAAUAGGCCCAUUUCUGAUGCAUAAUUGUAUUUUCACAUAAAUAAUAAGGGUAAGAUAGACAUUUUACUUAUUUUUGGUUGGAUUAGGUAGUUUAGGGGUGAGGGUAAAUUACAAAUUUUUUUUAAAUUUUAGAAAACAUUGCAAUUCUGAUAUAAAUUUGAAAGAAUUAAAUAAGUGUAGUUCUUAGAAAAAGUUACAAAUAUAAGUCGCAGUAGACCUACCUUACUGUCGAAGAUCCGGCUAACCUCCUUGCUAAGAAUUUAAAGUCUGCUAGAAUUUUGGAAAAGCACAAUUUUGAACACUAAUGAUGUCCUGUCCCAUCUUUGGUGAAAACGAAUUAAUUGAGAAAAUUUCCAAAUGACAAUAAAGAAACCUUUUUUUAUUGUUCAUUAUCUUGUGUAAUCCGUCUUUCUUGAAGCGCAUCAGAUUUUAAGCCGGACUGAGGAUGGCAUCCUAGCUUGGGUGCAUCUCAGAUGACAACUGUAACUAAUUAAGGAUAAUUCCUUUGGUCUUUUCAAGGAUUUCUAUUAUAAAUAGGAGGAGCGCUCUAUGGAGACGAACAGCCAUUAGAGGAGCUUCAAGUAGCAGAGAAGGGAAAGUCAAAGAGAGAAGCAAAUAGAAAACAUGGCUGAAAGUCGAAUUCUUAACUUGGCUUUUAUGAUCUCUCUUCUCCUCUCGAUCAUCUUCUUCUGCAUGGCCGAAAGUCGAAUUCUUGGACCGCCAUCCCUGCAGCAAAAUUCCAAUUUUGUCUACGGAGCUCACAAUUUCAAAUUGAGUGCCUCGGAGUCAACCUCAACGGUAACGCACUCUCGGUUGGUCAAUGGCUUUGGGUACUGACGGGGCACUAAAUCAAAUGGCAGACCUACAUAUUCUUCAAAGCAUUUGGAAAUAAAUCCGUGAAUAUGGACAGAACUAAUUAUUUUUCCCUGUAUUUUUAUUUUUAUUGUUUGAAUAUUUUCUAUUGGAUCAUGUGAUAUUGGUCGAUUGCCAUUUGCCAUUGCUCUUGGUGUGAAAUUAUGAAAUUAAUAAAAUUUUCUUC